rnacentral:rRNA from 1 species
CUGGUGCUUGCACCGGGUGGAUGAGUGGCGAACGGGUGAGUAAUACGUGAGUGACCUGCCUUUGACUCUGGGAUAAGCCUGGGAAACUGGGUCUAAUACCGGAUGCGACUACUGCCCGCAUGGGCUGGUGGUGGAAAGGGUUAUGUACUGGUCUUAGAUGGGCUCACGGCCUAUCAGCUGGUUGGUGGGGUAAUGGCCUACCAAGGCGACGACGGGUAGCCGGCCUGAGAGGGUGACCGGCCACACUGGGACUGAGACACGGCCCAGACUCCUACGGGAGGCAGCAGUGGGGAAUAUUGCACAAUGGGCGCAAGCCUGAUGCAGCGACGCCGCGUGAGGGAUGACGGCCUUCGGGUUGUAAACCUCUUUCAGCAGGGAAGAAGCGGAAGUGACGGUACCUGCAGAAGAAGCGCCGGCUAACUACGUGCCAGCAGCCGCGGUAAUACGUAGGGCGCAAGCGUUGUCCGGAAUUAUUGGGCGUAAAGAGCUCGUAGGCGGCUUGUCGCGUCUGCUGUGAAAGCCCGGGGCUUAACUCCGGGUGUGCAGUGGGUACGGGCAGGCUAGAGUGCAGUAGGGGUAACUGGAAUUCCUGGUGUAGCGGUGAAAUGCGCAGAUAUCAGGAGGAACACCGAUGGCGAAGGCAGGUUACUGGGCUGUUACUGACGCUGAGGAGCGAAAGCAUGGGGAGCGAACAGGAUUAGAUACCCUGGUAGUCCAUGCCGUAAACGUUGGGCACUAGGUGUGGGGGACAUUCCACGUUUUCCGCGCCGUAGCUAACGCAUUAAGUGCCCCGCCUGGGGAGUACGGCCGCAAGGCUAAAACUCAAAGGAAUUGACGGGGGCCCGCACAAGCGGCGGAGCAUGCGGAUUAAUUCGAUGCAACGCGAAGAACCUUACCAAGGCUUGACAUACACCGGAUCGUUCCAGAGAUGGUUCUUCCCUUUUGGGCUGGUGUACAGGUGGUGCAUGGUUGUCGUCAGCUCGUGUCGUGAGAUGUUG